UCAAACGAAUGGGUCAACACACGUUUGUUUGACCGUUUCACUAACUAUUACAUAAUCAGCAUAAAAUAAUUCUAAUAUAUUCGAACAACAUCGGACACAAAACUACACCAACAUGGUUGUAGGAACAAUGCAUUAUAUUAAACGAGAGGUGAUGAUGGUGGUGAUGAAAAAAACUUAUGAACUUAAGAUUUGGUGAAGCCAUAGAUGAACUCUACUAGAUAUGAUCGACUAGAGAAGUGGGUCAUAGUCAUAUGUUAGUGAAUACUGAAUAGUUUUUAACCAGCUUCGGUACAGUUCUAAUUACAGUUGGUUGGAAAAUAAAUAAGUUUCGGCUAAGAUUGUGUGUAUCUCAGCUGAACCAGUGGUGGCUCCGGCAGCUCCAACAGUGGUGGCUCCGGCAGCAUCAUUGGUGGUCAGAAUUGUGUGUAUAUCAGGGACUUUUCUAUCUCCUUGAUCAUCCUUUAAAACAAGGGUUGAUUUUUUAGUAAUUUAUGAUGAUAAUCAUCAUAUUUUUCUUGUAAAUCAUAUAUGUUUGUUAAAAAAGAAUAGGCAAGUUUUAGAUGCGAGGAGAAUGUACCAUAGCUAAGAGUACACAAGCUUAAGCCUUUGGUACAACUUAUUCUUGAAUUGGUGUUUUCUAAAUGGGAUAAUAAGAGAAUCUGUUUCCUGUCUUCUUUUAUGAGGCUGAAAUGGGCACUACUGUUUACAUAGCUAGAAACUUGCGUGGAAUUAGCUUGGUUUAGAAUUCUAGCUGAACCAAACCAGCUCGGUGGGCCUGGAAGUUGGUUGAAGAGAGGGAGGGAAAUUGGUGAAGAAUUGUAUUGAAGAGGCUUCAAACCAGCUCGGUAGCGAAUAGGCUGAACGCUGGAGGGAGUGGUCUGCAAGUUGGGUGGGCCUGGAAAAAGGGCUUUGCUUCUACCCGAGGAGUUUAAAGAAUUAUGGCAGCUGGGAUCUUUACUCAUUUCAGUCGAGUGUUCUCCUCAUAUGGAUGUUUGGUCAUGGGAUUUGGACGACUUGAAGGUUUUUACUAUUAAUAACUUAAAAAGGGGCUGCAAAUGGCUAGAUACAUGGCUCUGGAUUAUUUGUUCAAGUGGAAUAAUUGGGUCCCUAAAAGGGUGUCGAUUGUUGCAUGGGGGGCUAAGAAGAACCGGCUUCCAACAUCAGGCGCUUUGCUUAAAAAGGAUUUUUCUUUGUCAUUGCGGAUCUUUGUGUGUUUUGCGGGGAAGUCUCUUAAUCAUGUGAACAUAUUUUCGUGUUGUGCUUGGUAGGUUGGUCUGGCAAAUUUUAUCCAAGUGGUGUAAUGUUCAAUGAUCGAUUUAUGCUUUCGGCUUACACAAUCGGGUUGUGAUGUACAUUUUCUUUUGAUAGUAACCACUUAGUAGGAAUUAGGUGAUGGAUGAUGAUAGUAGUCGGGUUUAGAUUGUGAACCUUAUGCUUUGCUUGAGGAUUGGCUUAGUAAAAAGGUAGAUGGGUACUUGGAUACCACUGUCGACAAGGUCAAUGUGGUUCUACAACUCAGACGUUAGCAACCCCUGCUGUGAGUAAUGUUUCUUCAGCCUUUUUCUCAAGGUCCGCUCCAUCAGAGAAAACUCUAGGUGGCAAAGCCUAUCUUCAACCCAAAAGCCCACCAAUGUCUCAAGAGGAAAAUGAUGCUAUUUUGGUGAGUUGUGAUUAUUUUGAUGUUUAGUUAUACUUUGUGCUGGGAAGUGGGAGCCUUGAGCUUGCAAUCAUAUGUACUAAAUUGUGCUUUUGCUUUGCUGCUUUAUAAUAAUACUAGUCUAAGUACCCGUGUGUUACAC